ensembl:lncRNA
CGAACGGCAGCGUGUCUCCUGUGUUCACUUUCUCUCCUGUUUUACAGAGCCCUUUCCACAUCCUUUCUGAGCAUGCGCAGAGAAUGAAAAAAAUCUUCGCGCAUACGCAUUCGCCUUCUUCAUCUACGCCACAGUGUGCUUUGGCCACGUGUCUGGAAAGAGGGAUUAAUCACGAUUCAUCCGCUGGAGUUAAGUAUCAAGUUAGGAGAACCACUGCUUGCUUAGCUUCGCCUGUGUGAGUGUGUCAAGCAGGCGACCUCUGAAGAGUUCCCGAAUCGAAGUGAAGUGUGAAUUCAUCCUUCAAGCUGUGAUUAUAUACCUGAAUGAGAAGCCUCAAAAUAUCAUCAAAGAGUACAUGGAUUUCAACGUGAUGGAAGCUGAAGAGCUCGAAAGGAUGGAUUUGGGGUGUUUAUAAAAUAAUCCACGAAGGAGCACAGCCCGAUGACUCCCUUGAAGAUGUUGGCAUCAUUAUCGAGAGAUGCACCGUCUUGCAGGAUCUUCACGAUGUGGCGAGCAGGAUCGUAAUCUGGCUACGCGCCCAUCAUAGUGGGGCCUGUAACACAUGCAACAUGCAGCACCUGUACAUAAAAGGCCAAAGCAGUCUGUACUUCCUCAGGAGGCUGAGGUCCUUCAACAUCUGCAGGAAGCUCCUGAGGAUGUUUUAUCAGUUGGGACUGUUUGCAAACAUCUCAGAGAGAGGAGACACCAGCAUCUGAACAGAGACUCAAACCAGCAACCUGCAGGUCCCUGCUUGGCUGCUCCAGUUUUCUCCUCACUCAUGUUGCCCACCAGUGAUUUCUAGCUGCCCACCCACACAGCAGGCUAGAAUAUGCGCUGAGCCUCAGCACCAUGGUUGCAAUACUUGGACAUGUUUUCUUUAUUAAAUAAUGAACCAGACCCCAAAAAGUAAACAGCUGUUAUUGCUAGGCAACGGGAGCAGCAUUUGGUGAUGCAGCACCUGACAUUCCUGACCAUGUGGGCGGAGCAUGCGUGAAAUGGAAUGUUUAGUAGAACUGUGCAACACAAGCACUUAGUUACGGCAUUUUUCAUUGUAUCCAGACACAGUUAGAGACACAUCUACAGCAGCAUCUCUGUGCAGGACAAACGACAGUUGAAGAUAUAAAACAUCAAAAACUUCACUUCUCUACAGUACGUUGGUUCCUUUGUUUAAAAGGCCAAAAUGAAUCAAGGGAGAUCGAGAAGAGGAUUGGCGAGUGCUUCACCAUACAGUACAGUGAAGUCUGAGCUGACUAACCUACGAGAGGAAUUUCAAAUAAUACAGGCUGAAAAUGUCAAAUUAAAAGAAGAGGCAGAAAAAUCAAGAGGAGAAGCUAAAAAUUCAAAGUUUGAAACUGAAGUAGUAUUGCAGGAAUUACUGCAUGUGGGUCUAAAACUUAAAGGAGAGAAGAUGGAAAAACAACGGGCAGAAAAUGAGAAUGAAAAUAUAAAGAAAGAACUGUUGGAAGCUGAAAAAGCAUUGGAGGAAGAGAAAACCACAGCACAAGAAGCCAAAAAUAAAUAUCAAACUGCAAAGAAGGAGGCAGAAAAUGUGAUGCAGGAAUUACAGGAGGUGCAGAAAGAUUUUGAAAAGGAAAAGAGGAAAAUGCAGUUGGCAACACAAGAAGCUGAAAAUGUAAUGGCUGAAGCUGAAAUAGUUAGGAAGGAAUUCCUGCAUGUAAAGCAACAACUUGAAGAGGAGAAAAAACGUAAACAUGAGGCAGAAAAUGAGAUUGAAAAUAUGAAGAAAGAAUUGUUGGAAGCUCAAAAAGUGUUGGAGGAAGAGAAAAUGAAAAUACAGGAAGCAAAGAAAGAAAUGGAAAAUACAAAUAGUUACACUCAAAACAUGAAGAAGAAGUUGCUGGAAACACAGGAAGCAAUAGAAAAAGAGACACGUGGAAAAUGGGAGGCAAAACAGGAAAGUGAAACUCUGAAGAAGGAACUGAUGAAAGUGCAAGAAGAACUUGCAGAAGAGAAAACUGAGGUGAAGGUAUUCAAGAAAGAAAUGACAGGCUCUGCGAGGACCAAGAAAGACUGCAAAGAUGCACUUAAAGAAAUACGAAAGCACAAAAAGGAAGCUAAAGAGCUCCUCAAACAGAAAGUGAAACUGGCCAAACGGCAGCUGAAAGAAAAAUUUAAAGACGCCGAGGAGCAGCUAAACAAAACGUUGAAAGAGCUGAAGGCAAAAGAAAAAGAAAAGAAAGCCGAGGAGACGAGGGGAUUCUGGAGCAGACUGCUGAGAAAGAACUGACCCAGCAGCAUCAAGUUUAAGGAGAUCAACAGUUUCGUCCUCCUUCCCCCUCUCUCCACCUUUCUUUCACCCCAUCCUUCUUCUUCUCUCUCUC